UACGGAGGGGGGCUAGCGUUGUUCGGAAUUACUGGGCGUAAAAGCGCACGUAGGCGGCUUUGUAAGUUAGAGGUGAAAGCCCAGGGCUUAACCCUGGAAUUGCCUUUAAGACUGCAUCGCUAGAAUCGUGGAGAGGUGAGUGGAAUUCCGAGUGUAGAGGUGAAAUUCGUAGAUAUUCGGAAGAACACCAGUGGCGAAGGCGACUUACUGGACUGGUAUUGACGCUGAGGUGCGAAAGCGUGGGGAGCAAACAGGG
rnacentral:rRNA from 1 species